GGGCCGCUAGCUCAGUUGGUAGAGCAUCGCCCUUUUAAGGCGGGUGUUCCGAGUUCGACCCUCGGGCGGCUCACCA
rnacentral:tRNA from 1 species